rnacentral:rRNA from 1 species
UACGUAGGGUGCAAGCGUUAAUCGGAAUUACUGGGCGUAAAGCGUGCGCAGGCGGUUCGUUGUGUCGGCGGUGAAAGCCCCGGGCUUAACCUGGGAAUGGCCGUCGAAACUGGCGAACUGGAGUGUGGCAGAGGGGGGUGGAAUUCCGCGUGUAGCAGUGAAAUGCGUAGAGAUGCGGAGGAACACCGAUGGCGAAGGCAGCCCCCUGGGCUGACACUGACGCCUCAGGCACGAAAGCGUGGGGAGCAAACAGG